ACGGGUGAGUAACACGUGAGCAAUCUGCCCUUGACUCUGGGAUAAGCGUUGGAAACGACGUCUAAUACCGGAUACGAACUUCCCCGGCAUCGGGAGGGGUUGGAAAGAAUUUCGGUCAAGGAUGAGCUCGCGGCCUAUCAGCUUGUUGGUGAGGUAAAGGCUCACCAAGGCGACGACGGGUAGCCGGCCUGAGAGGGUGACCGGCCACACUGGGACUGAGACACGGCCCAGACUCCUACGGGAGGCAGCAGUGGGGAAUAUUGCACAAUGGGCGCAAGCCUGAUGCAGCAACGCCGCGUGAGGGACGACGGCCUUCGGGUUGUAAACCUCUUUUAGCAGGGAAGAAGCGAAAGUGACGGUACCUGCAGAAAAAGCACCGGCUAACUACGUGCCAGCAGCCGCGGUAAUACGUAGGGUGCAAGCGUUGUCCGGAAUUAUUGGGCGUAAAGAGCUCGUAGGCGGGUUUGUCGCGUCUGCUGUGAAAUCCCGAGGCUCAACCUCGGGCCUGCAGUGGGUACGGGCAGACUAGAGUGCGGUAGGGGAGAUUGGAAUUCCUGGUGUAGCGGUGGAAUGCGCAGA
rnacentral:rRNA from 1 species